rnacentral:rRNA from 1 species
AACGAACGCUGGCGGCAUGCCUAACACAUGCAAGUCGAACGAGACCUUCGGGUCUAGUGGCGCACGGGUGCGUAACGCGUGGGAACCUGCCCUUAUGUUCGGAAUAACUCCCCGAAAGGGGUGCUAAUACCGGAUAAUGUCUUCGGACCAAAGAUUUAUCGCCUUUGGAUGGGCCCGCGUUGGAUUAGCUAGUUGGUAGGGUAAAAGCCUACCAAGGCGACGAUCCAUAGCUGGUCUGAGAGGCUGAUCAGCCACACUGGGACUGAGACACGGCCCAGACUCCUACGGGAGGCAGCAGUGGGGAAUAUUGGACAGUGGGCGAAAGCCUGAUCCAGCAAUGCCGCGUGAGUGAUGAAGGCCUUAGGGUUGUAAAGCUCUUUUACCCGGGAUGAUAAUGACAGUACCGGGAGAAUAAGCUCCGGCUAACUCCGUG